UGGCUCAUCUGAAGUUCCUCCUUCUCCUCCUGUGGGUUGGUGUCACAGAGAGCGCAGUCCUGGAUUUACACAAAAGAAUCUUCAACGGUUAUGACUGUGAAAACACCAAGCAUCUGUACCAUGUGAAAAUAACUGCAACCAAAGGAACAGCUGUUUCUCGAUGUGGAGGCUCUCUGAUCCACAGAGAGUGGGUUCUAACUGCAGCUCACUGUUGGAAAGAUCAACCUGGAUGGACUAUGUCUGCAUAUGUAGGAAUUCAUCCAGGUCCAGGAAGUAUGGUUGCAAUUAGGGAUCACCAAAUCUUUCAGAACCAUGACAUCAUGCUACUGAAAAUCUCACCAGCAUCGAUCAGGACUGACCUUGUUCAGUUACCUGAUUGUACCGUUCCUCC